CUUGGGGAAAUAAAGAGAGAGGAGAGACAAUGGCUGGAGAGACACAAAAUGUCAAAGCCAAAGAUAGUGGAGGAUGAUCUACAAAAGACAUCAAAGCGGGCAAAGAUCACUUUGGAAGAUCUUGACAGUGAUGAUGAGACUCCACAACACCAGAAGGGCUAGCAGAUACAAUAAAGAAGGCCAUAGAGGCUCAGCUUGCCAACAGCAACAGUCAUCUGGCAGCGGGGAAG